rnacentral:misc_RNA from 1 species
UGACUUCAGUGUCUCUGAUCCUUAG